UACGAAGGGUGCAAGCGUUACUCGGAAUUACUGGGCGUAAAGCGUGCGUAGGUGGUUCGUUAAGUCUGAUGUGAAAGCCCUGGGCUCAACCUGGGAAUGGCAUUGGAAACUGGCGACCUAGAGUGCGGUAGAGGGUAGUGGAAUUCCCGGUGUAGCAGUGAAAUGCGUAGAGAUCGGGAGGAACAUCCGUGGCGAAGGCGACUACCUGGACCAGCACUGACACUGAGGCGCGAAAGCGUGGGGAGCAAACAGG
rnacentral:rRNA from 1 species